GUGUCAGCAGCCGCGGUAAUACGUAGGGGGCGAGCGUUGUCCGGAAUCAUUGGGCGUAAAGCGCGUGUAGGCGGCUUGGUAAGUCUGGUGUGAAAUCUUGGGGCUCAACCCCAAGCCUGCACUGGAUACUGCCUCGCUAGAGUCCGGGAGGGGAGAUCGGAAUUCCUAGUGUAGCGGUGAAAUGCGCAGAUAUUAGGAAGAACACCGGUGGCGAAGGCGGAUCUCUGGAACGGUACUGACGCUGAGACGCGAAAGCGUGGGGAGCAAACAGGAUUAGAUACCCCAGUAGUCC
rnacentral:rRNA from 1 species